CUCAAUUUGAGCAGUCAUAGAUGCAUUGCUUCUUUUUGAACCUGUGUCUUAUUCUAAUUGAGUUAUAAAGAAACAACAAUGAACUGUGGAACUGAACAGUCCACUCUGUGACAAGUUCCUCUGUACAGGGAACAGAUUGACCCCAAACAUCUGACAUAACCUACGUAAGUGACAGUGUUGGCUUAGAAUAAAGAAACAAAGACUAUCAUGGCAUUUUUUUAAUAAAGCAAGUGUUACAGUGACCUGUUUUGGGGACUGCCAGAGAUUAGGUGGCAGUUGCCUUCUAGAUCUAGCCACAGGAGAAAAAAUUAAAGAGCCAUAUGACUGUGAGGCAGAUCCUCAUCAGGGAGGAGGCGCAGUGUCUUUUUAACCACUUUGAAGACCAACAGCCAAGACAUCUUGAGCUAGUUGUGGUGGACAGAGAGUUCCAAACACCUCAGCCACCAGGAAAAGGGAGUGGCCAGGAAGAGGCUGCAGGCUCAAGGGCUGGGAUUCUCCCACCCACCUAAGGAACCUACUGAGCAUCGAACCACUCCAACUUGCCUUGGGAGGAGGACUUGAAUGCUACCAAAGACUGCUCGACAGGCCUGCAAGGCAGGACUACUUUUGUGAGAAUUUGAAGACCAUGCCGACCUGUCAUUUAAAGCACCCAUCUCUGCCUGAGCUGUCAGAUUUGCCAAGUUCUGGGUUGUCUCAUAAUUAUUUACUCAGUACAAAAUAAUACCAGCCAUGAUCCUCAGUGGUAAGUAGCAGAAAUCAACUGUAUUUGUUUGCUAAGGCUGUGCUAAUAAAGUGCUGUAAAC
rnacentral:lncRNA from 10 species